UGUUUGUGUAACGGAAAUAGAAAUAAAUUGUGCGGUGUUUACUUCCGGUUUCGAGUCAGGCGUGUGAGCCAGGAGUGUUAGCUGUUUGGGCUUCCAGCGGGCGUCAACAAAGUCAACAAUCUGGACACUGAGGCUACAUGUGAUUGAUUGAGAUGAAACCCAUCCUACUGCAGGGCCACGAACGGUCCGACGCACAGAUGACGUACAACGGAGGAGACCUUGUGUUUUCGUCGCUAAAGAUCCGGCAAUUGAAAACAAACUGAAAUCUUCACGAGGGAAAAAUAAGAUUGAGGUUUUGGAAUGGCCCAGCCAGAGUCCAGACCUGAAUCCGAUUGAACAUCUGUGGAGCGAUGUGCAUAGGAGAUGCCCUCUCAAUCUGUCAGAUUUGGAGCAAUUUUGCUAAGAAGAAUGGGAAAAUAUUGCAACAUCAAGAUGUGCCAGACACAUAGACACUUACCCAAAAAGACUGAAUGCUGUAAUUAAAGCCAAAGGUUCUGCAACAAAGUAUUAGUUUAAGGGUGUUCAUACUUAUGCAACAAUGUUGUUUUAGGUUUUUAUU